ensembl:lncRNA LINC01704 long intergenic non-protein coding RNA 1704
ACAGAUGCUGUUUCCUUUGCCCAGCACACCUGUCACUCACCUCAACCCUUUCUCUCUUUUCCCCAUCUUUCUGUGGCUAGCUCCUCCUCAUUCUUUAGGUCUCAGUGUAGAUAGCACCACUAUCAGGAAGGAGUCCAGACACUGCCAGGCCUAAGAAAUGUAAAUUAAAUGCUCUCAAGGGAUGAGAGACACUGGAAGCUGGGACGCUCUUGGAACUCUGUUGCCAUCAUCAAGGCUUCCAGAUACAGCCCUCUAGGUCAUCCAGAGGUGCCAGCCAGCCCUCACCAGUGGUCAGCUUUUCCUCAGUGGAGUGGUCAGCAGUCCAACUACCAGGGCCAGAGCCCCAUCAAAGAAUCUUCAGUGCCAGCCAGAAAGAAUGAUGAACUCCUCGUGUAAAGGGAGUUUGGGGCAACCAGUCAAACCAUGGCCUCAUGGGAAGCAGCUGACUAGGCAAUGAGAGAGGAAUACAAAAGACAAGGCACUGCGAAGCCAAGUCUGGUUGGGGAGAAGAAACCAAUAUGCCUGAAACAGGGAACCAGAAAGGACUCAGACAAAACUGCUGACAAGUAUGGGGUUUCUUGGGGUAGGUGGUGAAAAUAUUCCAAAAUAAGAUUAUAGCGAUGUUUUAAUAAUCCCCUGGAUAUAAUAAAAAAACAUCGAAUUGUACACUU